rnacentral:tRNA from 1 species
GGUUUGUAGCUCAGUGGAAGAGCACUUGCCUAGCAUGUGUAAGGCACUGGGUUUGAUUCUCAGCACCA